rfam:Clostridium lentocellum DSM 5427, complete genome.
GCGCGAGUGGCUCAGUUGGUAGAGCAUCUCCUUGCCAAGGAGAGGGUCGCGGGUUCGAGUCCCGUCUCGCGCU